UACGGGGGGGGCAAGCGUUGUUCGGAAUUACUGGGCGUAAAGGGCUCGUAGGUGGCCAACUAAGUCAGACGUGAAAUCCCUCGGCUUAACCAGGGAACUGCGUCUGAUACUGGAUGGCUUGAGUUUGGGAGAGGGACGCGGAAUUCCAGGUGUAGCGGUGAAAUGCGCAGAUAUCAGGAGGAACACCCGUAGCGAAGGCGGCACUCUGGGCCGAUACUGACACUGAGGAGCGAAAGCGUGGGGAGCAAACAGG
rnacentral:rRNA from 1 species